rnacentral:rRNA from 1 species
UAAGGAAUAUUGCUCAAUGGGAGAAAUCCUGAAGCAGCAACGCCGCGUGGAGGAUGAAGGGUCUAUGACUUGUAAACUCCUGUAAAGAAGGAAAAAAUUCCCAUUAGAUGGGAGAUGAUGGUACUUCUGGAGUAAGCCCCGGCUAACUACGUGCCGGCAGCCGCGGUAAUACGUAGGGGGCAAGCGUUGUCCGGAUUUACUGGGUGUAAAGGGUGCUCAGGCGGAUUUGUAAGUCAGAGGUGAAAUCUUACAGCUUAACUGUGAAACUGCCUCUGAUACUGCAAGCCUAGAGUAUGGAAGAGAGUGAUUGAAUAUCUGGUGUAGCAGUGAAAUGCGUAGAUAUCAGAUAGAACACCAAUGGCGAAGGCAGUCACUUGGUCCAUUACUGACGCUAAAGCACGAAAGCGUGGGUAGCAAACA